GUGGGGUAACGGCCUACCAAGGCGACGACGGGUAGCUGGUCUGAGAGGACGACCAGCCACACUGGGACCGAGACACGGCCCAGACUCCUACGGGAGGCAGCAGUGGGGAAUCUUGCGCAAUGGGCGAAAGCCUGACGCAGCGACACCGCGUGGGGGAUGAAGGCCUUUCAGGUCGUAAACCCCUUUCGGCAGGGACGAAGCGAUCUCGUGACGGUACCUGCAGAAGAAGCCUCGGCUAACUACGUGCCAGCAGCCGCGGUAACACGUAGGAGGCGAGCGUUGUCCGGAAUCAUUGGGCGUAAAGAGCGCGCAGGCGGCUUGGCAAGUCGGGUGUGAAAUCCCGGGGCUCAACCCCGUGACUGCAUCCGAUACUGUCAGGCUAGAGGUAGGUAGGGGAGAUCGGAAUUCCUGGUGUAGCGGUGAAAUGCGCAGAUAUCAGGAGGAACACCGGUGGCGAAGGCGGAUCUCUGGGCCUUACCUGACGCUCAGGCGCGAAAGCUAGGGGAGCGAACAGGAUUAGAUACCCUGGUAGUCCUAGCCGUAAACGUUGGGUGCUAGGUGUGGGCGGAUAUCAACCCCGUCCGUGCCGAAGCUAACGCAUUAAGCA
rnacentral:rRNA from 1 species